GUAGGUGGCAAGCGUUGUCCGGAAUUAUUGGGCGUAAAGCGCGCGCAGGGCGGUCCUUUAAGUCUGAUGUGAAAGCCCACGGCUCAACCGUGGAGGGUCAUUGGAAACUGGGGGACUUGAGUACAGAAGAGGAAAGCGGAAUUCCAAGUGUAGCGGUGAAAUGCGUAGAGAUUUGGAGGAACACCAGUGGCGAAGGCGGCUUUCUGGUCUGUAACUGACGCUGAGGCGCGAAAGCGUGGGGAGCAAACAGGAUUAGAUACCCUGGUAGUCCACGCCGUAAACGAUGAGUGCUAAGUGUUAGGGGGUUUCCGCCCCCUAGUGCUGCAGCUAACGCAUUAAGCACUCCGCCUGGGGAGUACGGCCGCAAGGCUG
rnacentral:rRNA from 1 species